UACGUAGGGGGCGAGCGUUGUCCGGAAUCAUUGGGCGUAAAGCGCGCGUAGGCGGUUUGUUAAGUCAGAGGUGAAAUCCUGCAGCUCAACUGCAGAACUGCCUUUGAAACUGACAGGCUAGAGUUUGGUAGGGGGGAGUAGAAUUCCUGGUGUAGCGGUGAAAUGCGCAGAUAUCAGGAGGAAUACCCGUGGCGAAGGCGGCUCCCUGGACCAUAACUGACGCUGAGGUGCGAAAGCUAGAGUAGCAAACAGG
rnacentral:rRNA from 1 species